GGUUCGAUUAUGCCCGAUUGAACGCUGGCGGGAUGCUUUACACAUGCAAGUCGAACGGCAGCACGACUUCGGUCUGGUGGGCGAGUGGCGAACGGGUGAGUAAUGUAUCGGAACGUGCCUAGUAGCGGGGAUAACUACGCGAAAGCGUAUUAAUACCGCAUACGCCCUUCGGGGAAAGCGGGGACCUUCGGGCCUCGCACUAUUAGAGCGGCCGAUAUCGGAUUAGCUAGUUGGUGGGGUAACGGCUCACCAAGGCGACGAUCCGUAGCUGGUUUGAGAGGACGACCAGCCACACUGGGACUGAGACACGGCCCAGACUCCUACGGGAGGCAGCGGUGGGGAAUUUGACAAUGGGGGAAACCUGAUCCAGCCAUCCCGCGUGUGCGAUGAAGGCCUUCGGGUUGUAAAGCACUUUUUGGCAGGAAAGAAAACGGCACGGGAUAAUACCCCGUGCAACUGACGGUACCUGCAGAAUAAGCACCGGCUAACUACGUGCCAGCAGCCGCGGUAACAUGUAGGGUGCAAGCGUUAAUCGGAAUUACUGGGCGUAAAGCGUGCGCAGGCGGUUCGGAAAGCAAAGAUGUGAAAUCCCAGGAGCUUAACUUUGGAACUGCAUUUUUAACUACUGAGCUAGAGUGUGUCAGAGGGAGGUGGAAUUCCGCGUGUAGCAGUGAAAUGCGUAGAUAUGCGGAGGAACAUCGAUGGCGAAGGCAGCCUCCUGGGAUAACACUGACGCUCAUGCACGAAAGCGUGGGGAGCAAACAGGAUUAGAUACCCUGGCAGUCCACGCCCUAAACGAUGUCAACUAGCUGUUGGGGCCUUCGGGCCUUGGUAGCGCAGCGCUAACGCGUGAAUACCCACCGGGGAGGACAACGCAAGACAACUCAAGUGAAUUGAUUGGGAUCCGCACAGUUGUGGAUGAUGGAUUACUUUCGAUGUACGCGAAAACCCCGCACUUGACUUGACAGCAAUCUGAACCCAAGAGGUCGAGCCGUAAGAGAACCGGAACCCAAGGUUGCUACAUGUGCCGCCUUGCCCAGUCAGAGAUGUUGGUUGUCCCACAUGCGCCUUUACAGCUAUGCGAAAAAAACCUUAGUUAGAGACUGCCGGUGACAACCGUGAGGAAGGUGGAUGACGUCAGUAUCCCGCUGCCUUAUGGCUUCAUCACCGUCACACACGCGGUCGGGACAGAGGGUCGCCAACCCGCGAGGGGGAGCCAAUCCCAGAAACCCGAUCGUAGUCCGGAUCGCAGUCUGCAACUCGACUGCGUGAAGUCGGAAUCGCUAGUAAUCGCGGAUCAGCAUGUCGCGGUGAACACGUUCCCGGGUCUGUACACACCGCCCGUCACACCAUGGGAGGUUUUACCAGAAGUAGUUAGCCUAACCGUAAGGAGGGCGGACAACACGGUAGGAUUCAUGACUGGGUGAAGUCGUAACAAGGUAG
rnacentral:rRNA from 1 species